rnacentral:rRNA from 1 species
CGUAGGGACCGAGCGUUGUCCGGAUUCAUUGAGCGUAAAGAGCUCGUAGGCGGCUGCUCAAGUCGAAUGUGAAAACUCGAGGCUCAACCUCGAGCCUGCAUUCGAUACUGGGCGGCUAGAGUCUGGUAGGGGGAUCUGGAAUUCCUGGUGUAGCGGUGGAAUGCGCAGAUAUCAGGAGGAACACCGGUGGCGAAGGCGGGAUCCUGGGCCAGUACUGACGCUGAGGAGCGAAAGCGUGGGGAGCAAACAGGAUUAGAUACCCUGGUAGUCCACGCCGUAAACGAUGGGCGCUAGGUGUGGGAGGUCAUCGACUCCUUCCGUGCCGCAGCUAACGCAUUAAGCGCCCCGCCUGGGGAGUACGGCCGCAAGGCUA